UCGGCACAGAUGACCAUGGAGGCACCGUCAUGUGCUUUGGCUAAUGACUGUCUUUCUUCCUCUGUCAGAGCUUUGGGGAAAUACAGGCAAUAGAAGGAGGACAUUUUUUAGGAUUAUUGGAGCUUAAUUAAGAUCCCCAGGAAGAAUGAAUAUCCUUCAAGAACCUAGGCAAUUGAUGUUCUUAAGAAAUGACUUCAGCCGUUUUCCUAUUGGUUAUCCUUCCAUCCCUCUUAGACACAAAGGGAGGGUUCAAGCCUAAAGAGACCCUCAACUUCCCAUUGUCCUGAAACUCUUAGAAUCUUAGUACUCAGUGUAGAUCAUGGAAAGAGCCGUGAAGUUUGAAGUGAGGAGACCUGGGUUUGAAGCCUGAAUAGAACAUUUAUGAGCUGAAGACUUUGAUCGUUACCUCAUGUCUUUGAGCCCUCUUACCUCUGAAGUAGCAAGAUGAGUUUCUCUUUCAUAGAUUGUUGUUGGACUUAACAAAGCAGUAAUACGUUAGUAAUAUCCAGCAUUUAUUCAACACUGACUGUAAAUUAAUUGGGCAGUGAAUUAUAUAUGGAUUACUAAUUAGCACUCAAAGGCAUAUUUUAUAGAUGGAAACUUUAAAGCUCAGAGAGGUUAUAUAAUACCCGAAGCCAUGGUUCUUUUCUACUCUGGCUCAUAAUAGGCUCUCAGGCAAUAUUUUAGACUUUAUUUCCCAAUACCAUAGCAUUUUCAAGUCCGUCCUCUACUUAGUGUCAUCAUACAGCAACCAGUGGUGUCUGGGCUUCAUUGAACUGUAAGCCAGAAAGGAAUGUAGUUUGUAUUUGUUAUAAUAAGUACCUCCAAAAUCCAGGAUGGAUUAAAAUAAAGUAUGAUGCUAAGCCAGGGCAUGAGGUUUGGUUCCUUCAGCACCAUCAUCGUCCCUCACUUCAGUUUUUCUUCUUUCGGACAUAGUAAGCGCAAGGAGGGGCGGUCCUCGGUGCUUUCGGCUGUGCCGGUGAAGCAGGCAAGCUUGUUAGCUCGGGGAUCACAGUUCCAGGGCUCCGUCAAUGAAAAGAUGGAUUCUGUGGUGGGCUUCAAAGAUGACAGUAUGAAAACCUCUGAUUAAUAUUAAAAUUAAGUGAAAACACAGACUU